GACGAACGCUGGCGGCGUGCUUAACACAUGCAAGUCGAACGGAAAGGCCCUGCUUUUGUGGGGUGCUCGAGUGGCGAACGGGUGAGUAACACGUGAGUAACCUGCCCUUGACUUUGGGAUAACUUCAGGAAACUGGGGCUAAUACCGGAUAGGAGCUCCUGCUGCAUGGUGGGGGUUGGAAAGUUUCGGCGGUUGGGGAUGGACUCGCGGCUUAUCAGCUUGUUGGUGGGGUAGUGGCUUACCAAGGAUUUGACGGGUAGCCGGCCUGAGAGGGUGACCGGCCACAUUGGGACGGGGAUACGGCCCAGACGCAUACGGGAGGAAGCAGUGGGGAAUAUUGCACAAUGGGCGGAGGCCUGAUGGAGCAACGCCGCGUGCGGGAUGACGGCCUUCGGGUUGUAAACCGCUUUCGCCUGUGACGAAGCGUGAGUGACGGUAAUGGGGAAAGAAGCACCGGCUAACUACGU
rnacentral:rRNA from 1 species